CUGUGCCAAAGCUUGAGCCACUACCUAUUCCCAGACCUGACUUCACUUUACUCCAGAACUUAUUCUUUGUUCCUUUUGCUCUGUCCCAUCUCUUGCUGCCUGAAGUGCCUGCACUGGGGGCCUUAGAACCCGAAGCCUGUGCCUUUGACUGUUUCUGAAUAUUGGCACUAGCUUCCAUUUUCCUGGCUGCGUCCACUAU
rnacentral:lncRNA from 1 species